rnacentral:rRNA from 1 species
UGAGGAAUCUGUCCAUCGGCGGGGGAUAGCCGGCCCAACGGCCGAGUAAUACCGCGUACGUCGGCGGGAGCGCAUGCUCCUGCCGGGAAAGCAGCAAUGCACCGAUGGAGGAUCUCGCGGCCUAUCAGCUUGUUGGUGAGGUCACGGCUCACCAAGGCGACGACGGGUAGCUGGUCUGAGAGGAUGACCAGCCACACUGGGACUGAGACACGGCAGA